rnacentral:rRNA from 1 species
GAUGAACGCCGGCGGCGUGCCUAAUACAUGCAAGUCGAGCGAACGGACGAGAAGCUUGCUUCUCUGAUGUUAGCGGCGGACGGGUGAGUAACACGUGGAUAACCUACCUAUAAGACUGGGAUAACUUCGGGAAACCGGAGCUAAUACCGGAUAAUAUUUUGAACCGCAUGGUUCAAAAGUGAAAGACGGUCUUGCUGUCACUUAUAGAUGGAUCCGCGCUGCAUUAGCUAGUUGGUGAGGUAACGGCUUACCAAGGCAACGAUGCAUAGCCGACCUGAGAGGGUGAUCGGCCACACUGGAACUGAGACACGGUCCAGACUCCUACGGGAGGCAGCAGUAGGGAAUCUUCCGCAAUGGGCGAAAGCCUGACGGAGCAACGCCGCGUGAGUGAUGAAGGUCUUCGGAUCGUAAAACUCUGUUAUUAGGGAAGAACAUAUGUGUAAGUAACUGUGCACAUCUUGACGGUACCUAAUCAGAAAGCCACGGCUAACUACGUG